rnacentral:rRNA from 1 species
GCUCAGGACGAACGCUGGCGGCGUGCCUAAUACAUGCAAGUCGAACGCUUCUUUUUCCACCGGAGCUUGCUCCACCGGAAAAAGAGGAGUGGCGAACGGGUGAGUAACACGUGGGUAACCUGCCCAUCAGAAGGGGAUAACACUUGGAAACAGGUGCUAAUACCGUAUAACAAUCRAAACCGCAUGGUUUUGAUUUGAAAGGCGCUUUCGGGUGUCGCUGAUGGAUGGACCCGCGGUGCAUUAGCUAGUUGGUGAGGUAACGGCUCACCAAGGCCACGAUGCAUAGCCGACCUGAGAGGGUGAUCGGCCACAUUGGGACUGAGACACGGCCCAAACUCCUACGGGAGGCAGCAGUAGGGAAUCUUCGGCAAUGGACGAAAGUCUGACCGAGCAACGCCGCGUGAGUGAAGAAGGUUUUCGGAUCGUAAAACUCUGUUGUUAGAGAAGAACAAGGAUGAGAGUAACUGUUCAUCCCUUGACGGUAUCUAACCAGAAAGCCACGGCUAACUACGUGCCAGCAGCCGCGGUAAUACGUAGGUGGCAAGCGUUGUCCGGAUUUAUUGGGCGUAAAGCGAGCGCAGGCGGUUUCUUAAGUCUGAUGUGAAAGCCCCCGGCUCAACCGGGGAGGGUCAUUGGAAACUGGGAGACUUGAGUGCAGAAGAGGAGAGUGGAAUUCCAUGUGUAGCGGUGAAAUGCGUAGAUAUAUGGAGGAACACCAGUGGCGAAGGCGGCUCUCUGGUCUGUAACUGACGCUGAGGCUCGAAAGCGUGGGGAGCAAACAGGAUUAG